GCCCAGGAAAAGUGUGUCGAGCUUAAUGGAGAUCGUACGCAAAAUUAUUUGACGAUCUCGAUGAGUGUCAAGAUGCUCGAGGGAAUUUUCAGAAAUUUUCAUAAAGUGAAAUCCUCAAUCUAGGAGUUGGAUAAUAAAGUACAUGACCCGACGAGUUCGUGGAAAUUUUUGGGGAAUUUUUCGGAUACCCGACCUAUUUGUUAUGAUUUUCCGAAGUUUUGAGGUUUUGGAAAUUAAUUAAGGAAAUAGAAAAUGGGUAGAGCGAUCCUAGCCAUCCAUAAACCCACCGACUGAUCACAGCCGUCGAAAUUAAGUUAGAGCAGCCUAUAAAGAGGCCUUGUCUCGGUUGGACGACCAGAAGGAUCUAGAGAGAAGCUCGAAGCUUCUGACCCGAAACGGAGUCGCCGACCCGAGAAUGAAACCCGACCAAAGUGGUGUCGUCCGGCCACCGAUCGACGACUGACGACCACCAUCUUCUUCGUCUCGCCGUCGCCAACAGCCUCCUAUCCUUGGAUCGUCCAUGCAACGAUCGUGAACGGAGAGUCGAAGGCGAGAAGCAGCGUCUGCUCCACCGGUUCUGUGGUGGUUUCCGGCCACCGUCUGGGCCGCCUUCAAAAUCAAGAGGCUUGCUGGGUUAUUGGCGUCAAAAUCCUCAACUCAUCAACAUUCCAGUUCUAGCAAGGGGUUCUGUAAACCCGAGCUUGAUCAACGUAGACUUUCGAAGGUAAAAUUCCAAACCUUGAAUUCAAAGGUUGCUCUUGUGAUGAAUUCGAAAAUUGUGGACUGAAGAGCUCUUGAAUUAUUUCUGUCCUGGAGAUUUGGUUGAAUCAUGGUGUUAUGCAUAGUUUGAUCGAGUUGUGUAGUUUGGUGAUUUGAGGAUUUCUUUGCAGAUUGUAGUACCGGAGGUAAUAUCGAGAAUUUGAUGGAAAUGUUUCUGUUUGUUGGCUGGAGAAUCGAUUGAGUUAUGGAUUGAGAAAUUGGUUGUAUUGUUGAUCGGAGAUUGUGAGUAUGUGUGUGAGGUUUCUGUGAAAUUGAUUACUGGUUGUGAAUGAAUAAAUGGUAUUGUGUUGUUAUGUU